CAAUUUUUAUUACCUGUUUAUUUUGCCCCGAUAUUUAUCAAUAAUGAUGAAUUUUGCAAGCAAUAACAUUAUUUCUUUUAUUGUUUUAGAUAUUUAUUGAAGCUGAAUACGCAAUUCAGUCAGAAUUGGAUUUUACAGUUAAGUGCAGUCCAUCAAGUUACUACAUAUUAUAGAUAUUUAUACAUAUCUGGUGGAGUUUCACAGUUGCUACUCUAAGCAGCAGAUGAAAGCAUACAAAAGCCUUCAGGCACAUAAAUAUUUUACAGCUGGAUUUGUUUUGAAUGGAGUAAAAAUUGUUAAUGAUUUCCUGAUUUCCAUAUUAUUGUUGGAAAGGUGAAGCAUUUCCAAAAAGCUAAUGCUAAACGACUAAAUGCUUGGGUGGGGUGAUAGCCAGUUCUGAUGACAUAGCAAAUGCACAUUGUAUGCAUAUGGCCGGUAAUAGUAAAGUAUGCCCAGGGCAAGACAGACGAAGAAGAACCCAAUGCAUGUACAUAUGUUACAGCUACAUGGUUUGGAGAUAGCAACAUAUGCAUUCUCUGAUGAAAAACUAAUGAGUUUUGAAACUGUUCGGUCAGAGUGCUUGUUGCGCUCACUAAACGAACUGAAAUAUGAGAUGGCUUUGGCAUUGUGUUGCAGCGAUAUGAAAAUGGUUAUUCAUUUUUAAUUAUAAUGUACUUCUUCAUCAUGAGUAAUUAUGUAUUGGUCUUUUAAAUGUGUAUUUAUUUUUGUAAUUAGUAUCAACUUGUAAUGAUAAUAUACAUUUAUCGUUUAA